rfam:Gossypium raimondii chromosome 10, whole genome shotgun sequence.
CACGUCAGCGCGCUUUGCUAACGUGGCAACAAAUCGCGUCCUUGAGGGGGAGAUUUGUUGCCACGUUAGCAAAGCGCGCUGACGUGG